CAAUUCCAAUGCUGGAGAGGCUCAGGCAGGAUCACAAGUUCAAAACCAUCCGGGGAUACAUAGCAGGAUUGUCUCAGAAAAAAAUCCUAGCAAGAAUGAUGGCAAAGAAAUGGAUAGGCAACCCAAGAAGAAACAGAACACUGACGGACAAACCACCAGGAUUUCAAAGAUCACUGAGCUAUGGUCCUUCCAACCUGGAAAAAUGCUGGAGUCUUUAAAAUACCCACAGAUUUGAUUUCUAGAAGGUACUGUGAGAAUUCUGACAAUUAUUUUCAAUUUCUGGCUGAACCUCAUAAGGGCCAAAUGACAAAUUUCUAAACAUCGACCUAAAAUGCACCAGCGAUUUGGGAACAAAAAUGUUUAAAUAGGGAAAUAAAUACCAAAGUAGGACUGGC